GAUGAACGCUAGCGGCGGGCUUAAUACAUGCAAGUCGAGGGGCAGCACGCCUGUAGUAAUACAGUUUCUGGCGACCGGCAAACGGGUGCGGAACAAGUAACCAACCUACCCCAAACUGGGGGAUAGCCCGGGGAAACCCGGAUUCCUACCUCGUAACCUUUUUAAGUGGCAUCACUUGAUAAGUUUAGCUCCGGCGGUUUUGGCUGGGCGUGUGUCUGCUUAGGUAGUUGGUGCUGGCAACGGCCCACCAAGCCUGCGAUCAGUAACUGGUGUGAGAGCAGGAGCAGUGAUACGGUCACUGGGACAAGGGCCAGACUCCUACGGGAGGCAGCAGUAAGGAAUAUUGGUCAAUGGACGAAAGUCUGAUCCGGCGAUGCCGCGUGAAGGAUGAAGGUCCGCGGGAUGGUAAACUUCGGGUAUGGGGGACGAAACCCGGAUAUUCAUAUCCGAGUGACGGUAACGCAGAAAUAAGCACCGGCUAACUACGUG
rnacentral:rRNA from 1 species